AGGGAACAUGUGACAAAGGCUUUCAUGUUUAAAGAGUCACUUUGACUGCUGUGUGAAGCAGAUUGCAAGGUGUAAGAAAAGAGGUAGGGAAGGCAAUAUGUUGCAGUAGCCCAGGCAAGAUGGGGCUAUAUUCUGUCCUGGAAGAACAGAGAGAGACCUUCCUAACCACUGUAAAGUAACUGUGUCCAGCACCCUUUUAGUUUCUUAGUAUUUUAUUUCUUUUGCUUCCUUGUUAAGGUUUUUUCCUCCAACUAGAAUGUGAGCUUCAUGAGGUGUCUGUCUUGUUCACCACUGAUUUCUGACAUCUAGUAUAGUAGGUACUCAAGUAUUUGUUGAAUGACUUAAUUAAGUUGGAUAGUGUCAGUGAAGAUAGGAAGAUAUGGAUGAAUUUUAGAGAUUUAGGAUGGAAAGCUGACAGACUGAGAGGAUGGAUUGGUGACAUUUCAGGAUCCACGUUUUAAAAAAGAACACUGAAAAGUAAUUUCCUCUUCAGUGGAAAGAACACAGGCUUGUGAGUCAGACAUUUCUGAUAUAGCUAAUAAUAGCCACUUUUUUUUUUUAAUAGAUGGGGUCUUGCUAUUUGCUUAGGCUGGAGUGCAG
rnacentral:lncRNA from 1 species